rnacentral:lncRNA from 1 species
AUCGUUGGAACGGCUGGUCCCCUCCCUCUGGGGAACACAGCCGUCUCUCCCCUGACCCUCCUGGUUAUCCUCUCUUGGGGAUUCCGGACUUCCAGCUGGGGUGCCCCAUCCAAGCCCCAUUUUCAGAAGGGGAGUCUAUAAGGGAUCCUCCGGUGCCAGGCAGUGGCGGCUGACCCGAGGAGGCCCCAUGCCUGUUUGGGGGGAUGAGCGCCCUGUAAUUAUUAAUUCUGUGGCCCAGGCCCGGGUCGCUCAUUUACUGGCAAGACCAAAGUCUGGGGCCGAAAGAGCUGAGGCUGCUUCGGGCUUUUCUCAGAAAUCGCCUCAUCCCCCCGCGCCUCGCUCUUUGUGCUCCAGCCUUCUGCCUUGCACGCCGGAGGCAGGGCCCCAGCCUGAGAGCUCCUGCUGCUGCUCGCAGUCCCAGAGCCCCACCAGGACCACCGUGCGUGUGGAUGGCAGCCUCUGGAGUUGUGCAGUGUGCGGCCCUGCGCCUGGCCCGGGCUGCGUCUGA